UACGUAGGUGACAAGCGUUGUCCGGAUUUACUGGGCGUAAAGGGCGCGUAGGCGGCCUUCUCAGUCGGGUGUGAAAGCCCGGGGCUCAACCCCGGAACGGCACCCGAGACGGGUUGGCUGGAGACCGGGAGAGGAGGGUGGAAUAGCCAGUGUAGAGGUGAAAUUCGUAGAUAUUGGCUGGAACACCGGUGGCGAAAGCGGCUCUCUGGCCCGGUUCUGACGCUGAGGCGCGAAAGCGUGGGGAGCAAACAGG
rnacentral:rRNA from 1 species